GGCAGCGUGGCCGAACGGUCUGAGGUGCUAACUUAAGAUGCUGGAGGCGUGCGUUCGAAUCUCACCACAGCCA